rnacentral:tRNA from 1 species
GGGCAAGUGGCGGAAUUGGCAUACGCGCUAGGCUUAGGACCUAGUUCCUGAAAAGGAUUGUGGGUUCAAGUCCCACCUUGCCCACCA